GGAAAUUCAUCGCUCUAGGGUG
rnacentral:miRNA from 1 species